UAUCAGAUGUUCUACUUAUUUAUUUUUUUAACAUAAUAAAAUAAAACAAAAUAACUUGUCUUGUUUAAUUCAAUUAACAUUGGCAUCUAAUAAGAAAUGUGAACCAAAAGUAUGAUGUCCAAAUAGAAACAUAUUUCAUACCUCAAAGUAAGACCCGAAUGGAACGUCAUGUGCCUGUUGGACUGUCUCAAAAACCUAAAAGAAAAGACACAUGUUUAAUCCAAAAUUUACAAGAAAAAAUCAUUGACGUCAGAUUUUAACAAGCAAGGUACCAUUUGAAGAUAAUAAGACAGAAAUAAUAACAAUGCGAAUUUUUUAAAACUAUUAGAUAAUAAAUAAGAAAAAACAAUAGCAAGCACAUUAUCAAUGUUGCCAAAAAUUUAAGGCAAUGAGACAGAUAGCCUUACAAAUAUUUUCUUAUCUGGUGAUAAAACUGCAUGCUGAUACUCCGUCAUGGCUGUGUCAGGUGGACACAUGGGACUGUUACAGAGAGAUCUAAAUGUGAUCUCUCUUACUUGACCAUCAUAUUCAUCUGCAGCAUGCCACUGUCCCAUCUGGAUAAAGCAUGAGAUAGUAAGCAAAUAUUUCAAUAUCAACCAACCGAUAUUCAGAAUCCAGAAAUAAAAUCUUCUUCUUAGAUGGAAAAGCACACGGAACUGGAAGGAUAAGUGAUCCAUAUGGAUAAUCAUCAGAAACAAAACUGCUUACCCGGACCCUUAUCAACCCCCAACCCUAAACAGAAGCUCUAUUUGGAUGGACAAGAGCAGGCCUUUUGAGGCAAUAUUUGCCCAUUGAACUAGCAAUUGGGCUAAUAUAAUCAUCUGAACUUCCCAAGUAGUCCAUACAGUGUACACAGGAUAAUUAGAACAAACAGAAGCAAUACUCAGUGCUAACCAAACAAGGUUCCAAGUCCUACAUCAGAAUACAUAACGUUGUUUCCUCCAUAAUUUGGUUUUUAAGGAACCGUUGUCCUAGACAUCAUGGAGAGCACUACCAGCUCAGCAUUAGUCCUAAUGCCUCUAAUAAGCUUAACUCUAGAAUGUGCAAAUCCUAACUGCCAACGAUAUAACAGAAAAAUGGGAAAUAUCCUUUCCAUACAAUCUUCUUUUCUAUAAUUUAACAUAUGUUUUAAUUAUCCUUGACAUUCCACUGGCUGGAAUGCCUAAACCAGGUAUGCAACAUAUAAACUUCCAUAUCCAAUUUAGGUACUUAUAUAAUCAGCACCAUGUUUAAGGUACUUUUGCAUCCUUUAAAGAUUUAGCUCGUAAUCCUUUUUAACAUAUCAACAUGGAUAUUCCUUAAAUCAUAAAUGCAUUACCAUGAGAAGCUCUUUUGUUCUUUUUCUUCAUGGUAAAGAAAAAUACAUUGAUCAAAUAUAGAGAAUACAAAAGGAAGAAACAAUUUUCUAGGGUCUAUGAUUUCAAAAAAUGGACUUGGACUUACAACAAGAUUAGUAUCCUUUCUAGCUGCACGAUACUCAUUUGUGAAUGUAGAAUCAUCACUAAACAAUAAAGUAAAGAACUGUUCCGCUGUGCAUGGGAAAACAUCCUGCAAAAUACAUUAAUGCAUUCUAUAAUGGUAAUAACACAACUUAAAAAUUCAUAGACCAUGAAAGAAGGAAAAAGAUGAUGCGUACAUUGUAUAUACCAACAAGAACCUCUUCUUUGAUAAACGGUUGAAGCUUUUCAGGUUUGGUGACUGUUUCUUCCGCAAUCUUAGCCUGCCUUCUACUACCUCUAAUGGAGCUACUAUGUGCACGCAACGCCGAUUCUGCCUUCUCCUAUACAGCAGCAAGCAGAUUGAAUUAACUUUUUUCUUCAUUAAAUCAUACUAGUCAGAGAAAAAGUUCAGCAAAAUACAUAUCCAAGAUCUGAUCCUAAUCCCAUUUCAAACGGGUUAGAUGUAUCUUGUCAGGGCAUAUGCCCAAAAUAAGUGUAGCAGCUCGGAUACCAAAAGUUUCAGCAAAACUGAAAAAACUAUCAAUUCCAACAAGGAAGACAACCAUCAAUGCCUGACACAACAGGAUAGAAAACUCCUUCACUGUUAGUAACAUUAAAGAGACUGACUUUAACUUCUAAAAUAGAACACAAUAGUUGAACUUUGGCCAUUCUAUGGUGGUAAUUAAAUGUGGGCGUCUUAAAAAUGUGUUGACAAAGCCAUGACUACUUAGCAGUUUAGAUUAAUUAAUAGAUGUGCUCAUAAUAUGUACAUAUUUUUUUUUAAUAUGUAUGUUUUAUUCUCAACAUUAGUGAAUGAACUCCAGUAAAGGGGUACAUUCUGCCACAUGAGAAGUGUGUGAGAUGUUUUAGUAGCAGCAAUAGAGAAAAAGAGCUAUAUAGACAACAGAGAGGAAAUAUAAUAUCUACAUUGUUUCUGUAUUAUAUUACUAAUAAACCAGAAGUAUUGUAUUACUAAAAACCCAGUAUAAGAGUUCUAUUUCGCUAAAUCAAGAACUCGGAAAGACAGCUCAUUGAUGAUACGACUCUUAGUAAAUACCAGACAAUGAAACCCCAUGCAUUCAUAUUUUAACUUCAACAAGUUGGAAAGAACUAUGUGAAUCUACUUAUUUCCAUAGUCAUUAUGGGGUUAGGAACCACUUGGCGAUUUGUGUCAGACCUCUUCACAAUUUUAAACGAUGACCAUUUUAUCCAUACGGUUGAUAACCAAGAUUAGAGUUGUAAAGGUAAAUAAUGAUAAAAGUUACAGACACAAUGAUUCAUGAAGCAAUACGAACGAACCUUCUUCUCAGCCUCUAACAUUUUAUGAUAGUUCUUUGCAAUACGUUGCAAUUGUCUCAAGGCAUGAUUCCUGUUCCAAAAUGAUGCAAAUUUAUAUCUGACCCUACCUGAAAAUGAAAGAGAAAAUAAAGGCCAAAAAGAAACCUCAACAACUCAUAUCAAACUGAAAAUGCAUCCAAAUCACACAUGAUGUUCCACUAUUCUGAAAAAACACAUUCAAUAACCUAACCAGAACACAAAAGUAAUAAUAAAACCCAUCAAGGAAAGCCAAUACACUGGAUAUUAGUUCGUACAAUAAUUAGAUGUUUUAAAUGGAAGUCCAUAUUCAAAAAUAUUACAAUACACUCCAGUCAUCAUAGAAGUGCAUGAUUUUCAACAAACAAGAAAUUGACCUAGUGUUUUACUCCGACAUGACAUUUGAAACACAAGCAUAACAGUAACCUUAAAAAGGGCAUAUUUCAGAGAAUACUCUAUAAAUUUCUAAGGUGAGAGCUGGUGUAUUUAAAUGUAACUUUUCAUUUAAAUCGAAAUAUCAAUCUGCACAUCAGACUCAGAAUUUUUUUUACAGAGCAACCACUGAAGCCCUAAGGGAAAGCAAUGAAAAAUAAUUAUUCAGAGGCAGCAUUAUGUAAUGCUAGCAUAUCAAGCAAGGAUAGUUCGAACUUAAGAAGACUGAAACAGCUUACAAACUUGCAUCAGGACACACAAAUACCACACCACAAUUAUUGAAAUCAAACACAUUCUUAUACAAACAAAACUAAUUAAAAAAGGAAGUAACAGGAAAGUUAGCUAAAUUCAUAAUUAGGGUGAACCUUACAUGCAAUCAAGAUUCUAACUGAGUGGGGCACUUUUUCAGAAUCUUCAUGCACUCAAGUCUACUAAGUGAAUCCUAUGAGCUUUCUUGUAAUUUGGCCAAGCAACCAAGAGGCCCUCUCUUUUUUCCUUCUUCCCCUGCAUAUUCAGUGUCCUUACCUUCUCAAUUUCGAGACCAUACAAUGACUUUAGAACUUGCUUGAUCUAAAUCUUUGAAGCAGGGGGCAUGGUUUUGAAAGCAAUUUCUUUGGUAUUUUCAAAUGAAGACGGGAUGAGAAGCUUCAAAGGGAAAUCGAUAAGCAUGUUUUCAUGGUUCUUCAUCGAUCAAAUACCUCGUUUGGUUGUCAAGAAAUUAUAUGAGUGGCAAUUUCUUUGGUAUUUUCAAAUAAAAAUUUCGCUGCAACUUUUGAUGGCGACAGGAGAUGAAGUGCAUAGAAGUUGUUUAGAGAAGUUUUUCAACAACACUACUUGUCAUUGAUUGUUGGCCACUGUAAAGCGCAAACAAAGAUGUAACCACCAAUUUUAUUAUCCUAAAUCUAAUCACAUGAGCCUAAUUAACAAAAAUAUGUGGUUUCCAAGAAAAAUUACACCUCUAGUUUAUUAGGAUUUGAGGAAAAUAUAAUUAGAGUUUAACAAAAUUAUGAUGAAUGUAAAGGCGAGUUUAAAAAGUAAAAAUUCUGUUUUUUCUUUUUCCUUUUUAUUAUAUUUUAAUGUCCAUAAUUGUAAUUUAAUUUAAGGUAUUUUAAUAAAAAAAUUAUUUUUAAAAGUAAAUUUAAUGAGUAAUUUGGUGGGUUCAAAUAGCCCCACCCUAAUUUAAUGCAUAUUUUGGAUAUUUUAAGGGGAAUAGGUAUAUCCCACACAAUUUCCCCGCCAUGAAGUGCCAAUAUUGUUCUCCAUCCUUUCUACAUAUAUAUCUUUUCCAGAUAAAUAUUUGCAGAAGUGAGGUGGGGAGGCCCUCCUAAAAUAUACUUAAGCUUCGAACAAUCAGGCGUUUCAGAUUUGAAAGUUGGAAAUCACCAGUUCAGCCAGAGAGGAAGGAAUCCUCGUUCCUUUCUCCUCUACUGGAUAUGAACCCCACAUCCUCACAUACUCUGCGGAUUACAAGUCGUCUGAGAUAGCCGAAUCUGUGCAAUCCCACUCGAACAGUGCUUUGCGAAUCUCCAGAUCCUGAAGCUCGAGUGAAUCAAAGUUGGCAGAGAAAGCCAUCCUCUGGGGAAACAUGCCAAUAUUAGAUUUUCCAGUGCUAAAUGUUCAAGAGAGGUCAGAUUGUGCAAGCCGUUGGGCAAAGCCUCUAGUUUCUCACAACAACUUAGACGUCGUUCCUCCUUUGGGGAAAGACAAAAAGAUGAUCACACUACCAAAUUGUUUACUCUUGAAGAUGGUGGAGCUUAUGCACUCACCAGGUAAACCUUUAUGAUUUUCACAGCUCCAAAAUAUAAUUCUUUCAAGAGAUAUGUUAACCGCAAGGUGCCGAAGUGUGGCAGGCAACUCGGUUUCUGAAAAAUGAGGAUGUGAUAGAUGGACAAUAUACAUACAUACAAGGCAAUAGUAGUUACAAAAUAUUAGUAAUCCACUUUUGUAAUAGCAUGUCUCAAAUUUGUGAUAGAACACCUAGUAUUUGAAAACUUACCUUCUAUUUACAUCGGAUCAAAACAAACUUAAUCUUCUCAGCUGGGAUUGCCGCUACGAUAAAGGAGAAAUCUAGUUAAAUUAUGAGGGGGGUAAAAAUGAAAAUCCCCAUUACACAGUGAAUAACUCCAUCAGCGCACAAGGUAAGAUGACGACACUAUCACCAUCACGAGGGACCUCGGGCUGUGUGUAUAUAUAUAUAUAUAUGGGUGUGUGUGUGUGCAUGUAUUAUACAUUCAAAAAUGGGGACUGCUACAACAUUAAUUACUGGAUCUGAUACAGUUGCACUACUAGUUACAAUCUGGAGUUACAGAUGGAGUGGACGAUUGGUUGUUAGUCUCGCCACCGGAAGUACAUAUCUUGAUAUAUGAACGUGCCGUUUCUAACAUCAGCUCAACUUCUUUCUUGUACUGGCAUAGAACAAAAGAAUUCAUUGCUUACUAAAUUCAUUCAUAUUUCAAAAAUUAUGGAGUUCAUUUUUCAUUGUAAUAAAACAAAGAUUAAAAGGAAAAUUGUACAAUCAGAGUACCAACCUUGUUAACAGCACCUGUCUUGAUUUUGAAUUGUAUGACACACCAUUUCUUAAAAUGGGCACCUGCAGAUACUGCAGAAACAGUAAAUUCCAAGCACUAGAAUUAAAAAAGAAAAGCACAGUUGGAAUUGCUCAAUAUUUUGACCCAAAUGUUGAAUGCAAUGCAACAGUAAGAUUCUAACAUCUUCGGCAUUAAUAUACAUGCUUCUGUGUGCUCAUAGGACUCCAUGACAAUUCUUGAUGCAAGCUUGCUUCAACCAUUAUUAGGGCAUGAAAAAUCAUCUCACCAAUUGGAAAAGAUAGUCAAAGAGAUGAACAUCAAACCAAAACUUACCCACUUUAAUAUCAAUAGCAGAGGAAUUUUCAGCAACGGUCUCCAAAUGCCAUCGACAAUGAAUCUGAUACAGCAGGACAAUUACAUUGCAUGAACAAAGUGGAAUAUUUCUCUUAUAGGUUACAACCCUCUAAGCAAGGAAAUACAACCAGAAAGUACGUUAUUCUAAAAUAUUUUGGAAAAUGCUGGUUCACCUAUCUUAGCGCAGAAACAAAGUAAUGAUGACCAUACAAAUUUUAUAUAUGUCAGACGUUCUACUUAUUUAUUUUUUGAACAUAAUAAAAUAAAACGAAAUAAUUUGUCUUGUUUAAUUCAAUUAACAUUAACAUCUAAUAAGAAAUGUGAACCGAAAGUAUGAUGUCCAAAUAGAAACAUAUUUCAUACCUCAAAGUAAGACCCGAAUGGAACGUCAUGUGCCUGUUGGACUGUCUCAAAAACCUAAAAGAAAAGACACAUGUUUAAUCCAAAAUUUACAAGAAAAAAUCAUUGACGUCAGAUUUUAACAAGCAAGGUACCAUUUGAAGAUAAUAAGACAGAAAUAAUAACAAAGAGAAUUUUUUAAAACUAUAGAUAAUAAAGAAGAAAAAACAAUAGCAAGCACAUUAUCAAUGUUGCCAAAAAUUUAAGGCAAUGAGACAGAUAGCCUUACAAAUAUUUUCUUAUCUGGUGAUAAAACUGCAUGCUGAUACUCCGUCAUGGCUGUGUCAGGUGGACACAUGGGACUGUUACAGAGAGAUCUAAAUGUGAUCUCUCUUACUUGACCAUCAUAUUCAUCUGCAGCAUGCCACUGUCCCAUCUGGAUAAAGCAUGAGAUAGUAAGCAAAUAUUUCAAUAUCAACCAACCGAUAUUCAGAAUCCAGAAAUAAAAUCUUCUUCUUAGAUGGAAAAGCACACGGAACUGGAAGGAUAAGUGAUCCAUAUGGAUAAUCAUCAGAAACAAAACUGCUUACCCGGACCCUUAUCAACCCCCAACCC
rnacentral:lncRNA from 1 species